GAUGAAGAACGCAGCGAAAUGCGAUACGUAAUGUGAAUUGCAGAAUUCAGUGAAUCAUCGAAUCUUUGAACGCACAUUGCGCCCCCUGGUAUUCCGGGGGCAUGCCUGUCCGAGCGUCAUUACAACCCUCAAGCUCAGCUUGGUGUUGGGCCCCGCCGCCCCGGCGGGCCCUAAAGUCAGUGGCGGUGCCGUCCGGCUCCGAGCGUAGUAAUUCUUCUCGCUCUGGAGGUCCGGUCGUGUGCUCGCCAGCAACCCCCAAUUUUUUUCAGGUUGACCUCGGAUCAGGUAGGGAUACCCGCUGAACUUAAGCAUAUCAAUAAGCGGAGGA
rnacentral:misc_RNA from 1 species